rnacentral:rRNA from 1 species
ACGACGCUGGCGGCGUGCCUAAUACAUGCAAGUCGAACGGUCUUUUCUAUGGAAGCUUGCUUCCACUGAGAAGAUAGUGGCGAACGGGUGAGUAACACGUGGGUAACCUGCCCAUAAGAGGGGGGAUAACAUCCGGAAACGGGUGCUAAUACCGCAUAGUUUUCUUGAUCGCAUGAUCGGGAAAGGAAAGACGGCCUUUGUGCUGUCGCUUAUGGACGGACCCGCGGCGUAUUAGUUAGUUGGUGAGGUAACGGCUCACCAAGACGAUGAUACGUAGCCGACCUGAGAGGGUGAUCGGCCACAUUGGGACUGAGACACGGCCCAAACUCCUACGGGAGGCAGCAGUAGGGAAUCUUCCGCAAUGGACGAAAGUCUGACGGAGCAACGCCGCGUGAGUGAAGAAAGGUUUUCGGAUCGUAAAACUCUGUUGUCAGAGAAGAACAAGUUGGAGAGUAACUGCUCCAGCCUUGACGGUAUCUGACCAGAAAGCCACGGCUAACUACGUGCCAGCAGCGGC